UGGAAAGUCUAUGAAGCAGCCAGGCUAGCCCCUCUGCCAGGGAAAGAUGCAGUGAGCGAGCCUGGGCUGCAUGAGGCACACAAGCGCGAUGCCAGGCAAACACCCGUCGGGAGGGCCCAGCCCUGCCUUCUCGUUAGGAUACGUGAGAGCUUAUGAAAUUUUAAAAUCUUGUUUAAGAAAUAAAAAAUAAAGGUAUCUCACCAAGUUUGCCAGUUCUGUAUGGUCGGCUAUAAGCUCAGUUACAUGAGGCUUAGAGACAAAGGGGAGGAGGGGACGUCAGACUCUGAGAUGGGAUGGGGUGCCUGUGUCUUGUGGCCCUGACUGCACACCUGCUUGGGAGCCUGCCCUGUCAAAGGAGCACGUGCAAGGAGGAAACAAAAUCAGGGUGAAGUGUAAGUGGUGUUGCCACCGACGCCCACCGAUGUGAUGCUUUCCCUGGCACACUGUACAGUAGGCUGUUUCUCGCCUUUAAGGCGUUGUUCACAAGAGGAACAACCGCAGACACCUCACUGUCCCCUGCUGAAGGUCAAUUCCAUCACGAGGUGGAUCUUUUCAUCUUAGCCCCACCAAAAUAUCCCGAAGUCUAAUAUCGAAUGGGCUAAUUCGCAAGAAAAAGCAGCAACAGAAUUCGACUUCAAAAUAUGAAGCCUAAAUUCAGGAAAAGUAUCUUCAUUCGCUGAGAAUAUGAUUUACCACAUUUCCCCACAGUGGAUAUACUCCAAAAACUAAGUUUAGUUAUAUCACAGAUCAGCCUGCAUAUGAACGAAGCGCUAAGACUGUAUUUAGCUUCAUUUCUCCCCAGAAAUUACAAGAUUCUGACGAACACUGGAUCCUUUUACUAUUUUUAUAAUUUUCAUCUUUCAGAUUCCUUUCUCUGUAGGACUCCUGCUUUGCUUGGAAAGAGAUGUAAAAGAAUCACAAACUCAAUGCCUUUAGAUGCAGUCUUUGUUACUGAUGAGAUGUUCCUUUUCCUUUUGUAUUUGUUUAUUGUUCUUAAAUCUGUUUGGGGGAUAAGUGACUUAUUGUAAUAGCAAGUAAAAAAUAACAACGGGGUAAACUCCUCCAGAGAGGCCUUGGUGCAAAUAGUUGGUUUAGAAAUGACCUUUCUGAAUAUAAAAAGAGAAGACAGAGAGAGAUUCUCUUUUUAAGAUUACCUUUGAUGUUGUCCUGAGCCCGUGAGUGUACCACACAAACACGCCUUCUUAAAACAGCCUCUCAGCUGGCCUGUGCUGUGCUGCACGGGGCGCGUGCCGGGAUGGGGCCCAAGCAGGGUGCAGCGUAGGGGCCCAUCAGAAUGAACUGCCUGGUGAGAACCGUAAAAGCUUUUUGAUGCCCCAGAAAAGAAGUCAUUUAAGAAUGUACACCAGGGCCUUCCAAGCUUCUGAUCAAAACUGCUAUUUACUAGCAUCUCUGGAUUCUUUGGGGGCACAGAGAGCCAAUGCUUUGUGAGACUUCAGGAAUGUGCCCCUACCUGGACCGUGGGGUACAAGCUCGGUUUCACCGUGGGCAUUUAACUAUUCCUCAAGGGUUGUGCGAAACUCCCUUAGAGAGUUUUGAUUUUAAGUUUUUGUGGUUGUUUUCAAGAAGAUAAAUCACAAAGUUGAUGUUUGAGGGUAGGAAUCCAAGACUCUGAAGGCUUGUGGACAGGACAGAGUAGUAGGAUCCCAGAAGCAGCCAGGUUUUCCCGCUGCCUGGGUAGGAUGAGGGAACAUGCCAGCGUGGGUGACAGGCAGCUGCCUGUGGGUGGGGCUGGGCUGCCAUGGAGCCGGAAGAUGACUCGCUCCAGUGAGCUCGGGGCUGGUCAGUGCGUGGAACUUCACUCCGCUGGCUUAGGAAGGUGUUCUCCAGACCACACAGCCAAAUGAAAAAAAAUGUUCUUGAAAAACAGCUCACCACGUAAGUGAGAACAGAACAGUUGCUCUCUGGCUUGGCCUGGUGGGACUCCUCAACCCACACACGACAGUAAUGGGAGGGAAUGAGGUGUUAUCUAAGGACUGAAUGACGGAAAGGUGACCCGAACCCGGGUCUCUAAGCAAAUUAAUUUUAUGGCCUCUACAGUGUGAAAUCAUGUCUAACAAGAAAAUUUCUCCCAAAAGAUUAAAAGAAAGAAAGAAAAGGAAUCACAGCUGACAUGAAAGGGUCAGGAGGAAGGCCACAAGAGCAGGACAAUGACAAGAAACACCAGUGGGAUUGUUUUUAAAACUGACACGCAGCUCUUCCGUGGACCUAUUGAAAGCCUGGGGGCUGAGAGUGGUUGCUGCAGCAGGAGGCGGCGGCUAGUCACAGUCUGGGUGAGAGAGGGAUGUUAUCACUGGACCUCAUUAAGAAAAGCAUCCUGCAACUGGGCAUGUAUGCCUGCACCCCAGAAAUCAGCACCCCAAAGACAGCAAAGAAUGACCCACUUUGAGACACACUCCACUUUCACGGAUACACAGAAUACCACCCUGGAGGCUUCUGUAUUUGUACAGUACAUGCACCUCCUUACAGCAUUAAAUCCACC
rnacentral:lncRNA from 1 species